CUUGUAACAUACAAGAUGAGAGAUGAGAAUUUUGCCCUGACGACUUUACUUUUAUUGUUUUUAGCAAUCUAAGGGUCCAUCGGUUGACCACUUCGAAAUAUUCAACCUAACAGAGUUUAAUAAUAAAACCUUGAUAACUGAGCUAAAUGAGCACCCUUCAAUCGGAUGGAUAGAAAACACAGAAGGAAUCCGUUCUCCGGAUCAGCUUUAGUUGAGGUUUCCGGAGGUACCCGAAACUUCUAUUUAGAUAGUAUUUUGGUCCUUUAAUUAAUUCUGAUACUACAGGAUCUGUUUAAGUAUUCGAUCCCACCUGGACUGAAAUAGGACCCAAUGAGAUCUGGGGUAAACUUUUCUCAUUAGCACUGAGGGUUUUUAAUUUGUAACUGCCAAGCUGUGAGGCUGUGACCUUUGAGAGGUGUAUUUUUUCCAUAAAUAAAGACGCAAAACUCUA